rnacentral:rRNA from 1 species
CCUACGGGAGUCAGCAGUGAGGAAUAUUGGUCAAUGGGCGAGAGCCUGAACCAGCCAAGUCGCGUGAGGGAGUACUGCCCUAUGGGUUGUAAACCUCUUUUGUCGGGGAGCAAAAGCCGGAAGUGUCCGGCUGUGAGAGUACCCGAAGAAAAAGCAUCGGCUAACUCCGUGCCAGCAGCAGCGGUAAUACGGAGGAUGCGAGCGUUAUCCGGAUUUAUUGGGUUUAAAGGGUGCGCAGGCGGUUUUUUAAGUCAGCGGUAAAAUGGUGGGGCUCAACCCCGUCGAGCCGUUGAAACUGGCAGACUUGAGUUGGCGAGAAGUACGCGGAAUGCGCGGUGUAGCGGUGAAAUGCAUAGAUAUCGCGCAGAACCCCGAUUGCGAAGGCAGCGUACCGGCGCCAGACUGACGCUGAGGCACGAAAGCGUGGGGAUCGAACAGGAUUAGAUACCCGUGUAGUC